rnacentral:lncRNA from 1 species
AAAUGAGAAGGAGUGCAGAGUAUCCUCCUUCACAGUCACAGAAAACAACGUAUGUCACAGAAGAUGCAAACAGUGAUAAUACUUCAAGGGACUAGAUAGUGUAUAAUCUGGGUAGACAGACAGACAGGGAAUCCUCACCCACAAUGUUGGUGCAAAUGAGAAGAAUCCAAUGCAAGACCAACAGUCAAAGUUCAAUAGUUGACAAAGACAGCAAGAAUCCAAUGAGAAAGAAACAUAGGGCACAGUCAUAAACAGAACAGGCGUAGCAUAGCAACAAGGAAUCUAGCAGAAAGGUCUGUCAGGUACAGAGACAAAAUGUAUUGAAUAGUUCUCAACUUUGAGCCUUUGAGAGCUUGCGUGCCACGGCUCAUGUUACUGAAAGCUCAGGAAUGUUUCUGUAAAGUGAAGACUUCCUGAGUGAUCAAAGUGGUGGGUAAUGCAGCCUUCCUUCCAUCUGUUCUCCAGGAUUACAUUUCUCUCUUGGAUGCAGCCAACUAGGAGGAAAGCACCUGAAGGGAGAGCUGUGGAAAGCAACAGAACAUGUGGGAAAGCUUUCACCUGCAUGCCCUACUCGAUCUUAAAAUUGGAGCUUCUCCUUGUAUUAUUAGUAGUAAACU